rnacentral:rRNA from 1 species
AGAGUUUGAUCCUGGCUUAGGAUGAACGCUAGCUACAGGCUUAACACAUGCAAGGUCGAGGGGCAGCAUUGGAGUAGCAAUACUCAGAUGGCGACCGGCGCACGGGUGAGUAACACGUAUCCAACCUGCCGCUUACUCGGGGAUAGCCUUUCGAAAGAAAGAUUAAUACCCGAUGGUAUAAAGAGUUCGCAUGUUCUCUUUAUUAAAGAAUUUCGGUAAGCGAUGGGGAUGCGUUCCAUUAGAUAGUUGGCGGGGUAACGGCCCACCAAGUCUACGAUGGAUAGGGGUUCUGAGAGGAAGGUCCCCCACAUUGGAACUGAGACACGGUCCAAACUCCUACGGGAGGCAGCAGUGAGGAAUAUUGGUCAAUGGACGAGAGUCUGAACCAGCCAAAAGUAGCGUGAAGGAUGACUGCCCUAUGGGUUGUAAACUUCUUUUAUAAGGGAAUAAAGUGAGGGACGUGUCCCUUUUUGUAUGUACCUUAUGAAUAAGGAUCGGCUAACUCCGUGCCAGCCGCCGC